rnacentral:rRNA from 1 species
AACGAACGCUGGCGGCAUGCCUAACACAUGCAAGUCGAACGAGACCUUCGGGCCUAGUGGCGCACGGGUGCGUAACGCGUGGGAACCUGCCCUUAGGUUCGGAAUAACUCCCCGAAAGGGGUGCUAAUACCGGAUAAUGUCUUCGGACCAAAGAUUUAUCGCCUUUGGAUGGGCCCGCGUUGGAUUAGCUAGUUGGUAGGGUAAAAGCCUACCAAGGCGACGAUCCAUAGCUGGUCUGAGAGGAUGAUCAGCCACACUGGGACUGAGACACGGCCCAGACUCCUACGGGAGGCAGCAGUGGGGAAUAUUGGACAAUGGGCGAAAGCCUGAUCCAGCAAUGCCGCGUGAGUGAUGAAGGCCUUAGGGUUGUAAAGCUCUUUUACCCGGGAUGAUAAUGACAGUACCGGGAGAAUAAGCGCCGGCUAACUCCGUG